CGUUGUCCGGAGUUAUUGGGCGUAAAGCGCGCGCAGGCGGCUUGGCGCGCCCGACGUGAAAGCCCCCGGCUUAACCGGGGAGAGUCGUCGGGGACGGCCGGGCUUGAGGGCGGGAGAGGGUGGUGGAAUUCCCGGUGUAGUGGUGAAAUGCGUAGAGAUCGGGAGGAACACCUGUGGCGAAGGCGGCCACCUGGGCCGACCCUGACGCUGAGGCGCGAAGGCGUGGGGGGCGAACAGG
rnacentral:rRNA from 1 species